rnacentral:rRNA from 1 species
CCUACGGGGGGCAGCAGUGAGGAAUAUUGGUCAAUGGGCUUACGCCUGAACCAGCCAAGUCGCGUGAGGGAAGACUGCCCUAUGGGUUGUAACCCUCUUUUGUCAGGGAGCAAUUGGCGCUACGUGUAGCGUUAUCGAGAGUACCUGACGAAAAAGCAUCGGCUAACUCCGUGCCGGUGGCCGCGGUAAUACGAAGGAUGCGAGCGUUAUCCGGAUUUAUUGGGUUAAAAGGCUGCGUAGGCGGAAAGCAAAGUAAGCGGUAAAAUCGCGGGUCUAAACCUAGCUCUGCCGUUGAAACUGGCGUUCUAGAGUAGGCGAGAGGUAGGCGGAAUGCGUGGUGUAGCGGUGAAAUGCAUAGAUAUCACGAAGAACACCGAUUGCGAAGGCAGCAUACCGGCGCCCAACUGACGCUGAAGCACGAAAGCGUGGGUAUCGAACAGGAUUAGAUACCCCAGUAGUC